rnacentral:lncRNA from 1 species
UUAAUUUCAGGUUGUUUGGAGAAGAAUAUACCUUCAACCACAAGCGUUUCAUGACUUGCUUGGAUUUCAGACUGCCUAUGAUGCGCCAUCUGAGCUCCCCAUGAGCUAUUUUCUGAGCCGAGACGUCGAGAAGUUUUGGAGCGACAUUAUGUGUGGGGGUAGUCCUGACCCUUCCACCCAAAUCUCCAGCAAGAUUCAUAAUCCUUCUUUCAAAUACUU